rnacentral:rRNA from 1 species
GACAGAGGGGGCAAGCGUUGCUCGGAAUUACUGGGCGUAAAGGGCGCGUAGGCGGAAUGGCAAGUCGGUCGUGAAAUCCUUCGGCUCAACCGAAGAACGUCGAUCGAAACUGCCGUUCUUGAGGAUUGCAGAGGAGACUGGAAUUCCCGGUGUAGCGGUGAAAUGUGUAGAGAUCGGGAGGAACACCGGUGGCGAAAGCGAGCCUCUGGACAGUUACUGACGCUGAUGCACGAAGGCCAGGGGAGCAAACGGG